rnacentral:rRNA from 1 species
GCGUGGGUGAAGAAGGUCUUCGGAUUGUAAAGCCCUUUCGGCGGGGACGAUGGUGACGGUACCCGCAGAAGAAGCCCCGGCCAACUUCGUGCCAGCAGCCGCGGUAAUACGAAGGGGGCUAGCGUUGCUCGGAAUCACUGGGCGUAAAGGGCGCGUAGGCGGCGCCUCUAGUCGGGCGUGAAAUCCCCGGGCUCAACCCGGGGGCUGCGCCCGAUACGGGGGCGCUGGAGGCAAGGAGAGGCUCGCGGAAUUCCCAGUGUAGAGGUGAAAUUCGU